UAAGGGAUAUUGCGCCAAUGGGCGAAAGCCUGACGCAGCAACGCCGCGUGCGGGAGGAAGGCCUUCGGGUUGUAAACCGCUUUUCAGGGUGAAGAGGAAGGACGGUAGCCCUGGAAUAAGUCUCGGCUAACUACGUGCCAGCAGCCGCGGUAACACGUAGGAGGCAAGCGUUAUCCGGAUUUACUGGGUGUAAAGCGCAAGCAGGCGGUUGGAGAAGUCACCUGUGAAAGCGCCCGGCUCAACUGGGCGAGGACGGGUGAGACUCUUCGACUGGAGGUAGGUAGAGGCAUGUGGAAUUCCGGGUGUAGUAGUGAAAUGCGUAGAGAUCCGGAGGAACACCAGUGGCGAAGGCGACAUGCUGGACCUAUUCUGACGCUCAGAUGCGAAAGCACGGGGAGCGAACGGG
rnacentral:rRNA from 1 species